AGACACCAUUAAAAUACCAGUGGUUAAGCCUCUGCUGAUCAUGGUGUCCAAAAAAGUUAAUGUGGCUAAAUUGAGACACAGGCUAUGCUUCCAUCACAGAACCCAUGCUGCAGUGGUGACAAUGAAACCUGUAACAUUU